UAGAGCAAGAUGGAGAAGCAGGGCACGUGCAUUACUAACUCAACCGCACAUACAUCUACUAACAAAAAUUAAUUAAUCCACACAUUUUGAAGAAACCAAAUCAAGAAGCAGCAAGCUCUUUCUGUUGUUAUAGCUCAGUCAUGAGUUGAGUUAUUUCUUCAUGUGCCCUUCUUCCCCAUCAUGACCGC
rnacentral:pre_miRNA from 1 species